rnacentral:rRNA from 1 species
CGGCGGACGGGUGAGUAACGCGUGGGUAACCUGCCUCAUACAGGGGGAUAACAGUUAGAAAUGACUGCUAAUACCGCAUAAGACCACAGCACCGCAUGGUGCAGGGGUAAAAACUCCGGUGGUAUGAGAUGGACCCGCGUCUGAUUAGCUAGUUGGUAAGGUAACGGCUUACCAAGGCGACGAUCAGUAGCCGACCUGAGAGGGUGACCCGGCCACAUUGGGACUGAGACACGGCCCAA